rnacentral:rRNA from 4 species
GAGUUUGAUCUUGGCUCAGAUUGAACGCUGGCGGCAUGCCUUACACAUGCAAGUCGAACGGCAGCACGGGAGCUUGCUCCUGGUGGCGAGUGGCGAACGGGUGAGUAAUGCAUCGGAACGUAUCCUGGAGUGGGGGAUAACGUAGCGAAAGUUACGCUAAUACCGCAUAUUCUGUGAGCAGGAAAGCGGGGGACCUUCGGGCCUCGCGCUCUUGGAGCGGCCGAUGUCGGAUUAGCUAGUUGGUGAGGUAAAGGCUCACCAAGGCGACGAUCCGUAGCAGGUCUGAGAGGAUGAUCUGCCACACUGGAACUGAGACACGGUCCAGACUCCUACGGGAGGCAGCAGUGGGGAAUUUUGGACAAUGGGGGCAACCCUGAUCCAGCCAUGCCGCGUGAGUGAAGAAGGCCUGGU